CACACAUCAAUUCUAUCCAGGGGGUCUAGUCAUUUCACGCAAUUACUGCAUCUGCCGCCGAGUUCAUCUUCUCCAACCAUCCUCCUCCCACCCACCCACGCACCAGAGAGGGAGGAAGAACGAGGCCGCGAGCUAGGAGGUAGAACUCCAUGGUCGAGCACAGGAGCUGACAUCCCCCGCCGGAAGCACUCAACUUAUGCUUUGCCCUCUCACGGACCUGCUCCUCUCCAAUCCAAGGCAGCCGAUCCAAAGGUAAUGGCUUUUGUCGGGAUGGAUCCCGUUUUCGCCGCCGCUGAAUCCGCUAGAGUGGCAAACCAAGAUCCAGCGAGCGAGGUUUCGCCAGAUGAGUUGGACAGCGAUGACGAUUGUUCUGGUGGUGAUGGUGGAUCCAGCGGUCCACCAGGAACACCAGCAAUUACGUCUAGAUUAUCUUUGCUCAAGCUAGGUUAUGUUAUUUGCAAGUUUUCAGAUUUCAAGAAACAACUAGUCAGAGAAAUAGGAUUCGACGGGUUGCUUCAGAUCAAGUCAUGGCAAAAGAUAAAUCUUAAGUACAGCGCUUACCUCAUGGAUAGAGUAGAUGUUGACAACAGCGUGGUCAACCUAGAAGGCCAGGGCAUGCUUGAGCUUACAGACGAGUCGGUUCACUCUGUUUUUGCAAUACCACGCGGUGAGCUAGCAAUUGGUCCAGAAGGUGUCGAACCGUCUGAAGCUUGCAUUGAGUAUACACGUUUCGCAGCUAGCAUCAAUGACAAAGGUACACACAGCUUGAAGGCAGCAGAGGCAUACCUAAUGCGGGACAUCACCGCCAACUCUAGAAAAAUUGACAUGGAUUGUUUCAAAAUUGCAUUUGUCAUCUUUGUAAUUGGCCAUGUUCUUGCUCCAUCAGCCAAACAUGAUUACCGUAACAAUAGAUUUCUGGGCUGCCUUGAGUGAUGUUGGCAAAAUCCGAAGAUGAAACUGGUGUGGCUACAUUUUGAAACAUCUGUUCAAUGCUGUAAGGAAAUUCAACUCAGAUGUCAUUAAACGAAAUCCAACAAUUCACAUUGUCGGCUGCCAUCUGUUCCUACGGGUGUUUGUGCUUGACAGCCUCGAGCUUGGCCAGCUGAACAAACCACGCGGAAUCUACCCAAGGAUAGCGCUUUUUGAGCACGAGUCGAUGAAGAAGAUGAUUGAUAUCACAUCCGUAAACAUGUGGAGGAGAAAUAUCAUU